rnacentral:lncRNA from 1 species
UUUUCCCAAAUACUAUAUACAUGUGAAAUUUUAUUCGACCAUUUUUUCUAAAACGAAUCUAGCAGCAGAACUGUCGAUUUUAUUUGACCACAUAGCAUAAAUAUGUUGUCAGACAAAAUAAAGUGAUAUAGAUAUCAUAAUCCUCAAAAUUAAUUUGGAAAGAGUGGCUAAUGAUCAAUGCUUUUGUGGUGGAUGCUACUGCAGCUGAAUGCAGGGCUCACCACCCAGCUGCUGCUGAGCCUGUUCAGGGUGAAAGGCAUCGUCCACUGGGGCAUCGCCGGCAACGCCAACGAGGACCUUCAGAUCGGCGACGUGACCAUCCCCGAGUCCUGGGCGCACCUGUCCCUGUGGAACUGGCAGAGGCACGGCGAUGGUGCGGAGAACGAGCUGCCGCUGGAGAGCGCCGGCGACUACACGAGGGAGUACGGCUUCCUCAACUUCUCCGACUACACUGUCGGCCAGGCCAACCCGGAGCUGUCGGCGAACACUCUGAACAGCGUGUGGUACCAGCCGGAGGAGAUCUUCCCGAUCUCCGGCACGCCGGAGGAGCGGCAGCACGCGUUCUGGGUGCCCGUCAGCAAGCGCUACUACAGGCUCGCCGCGAAGCUGGAGGGGAUGGAGCUGCCGGCGUGCGUGAACGAGACGACGUGCCUGCCCCGUGCGCCCCGGGUGACGCGUGUGCCCAGGGGUUGCAGCGCCAACAUCUACACCGACAACGCCAGCUACCGGCAGUUCAUCCGCGCUCACUUCGGGUGCACCCCCGUGGAGAUGGAGAGCGCCGCCGUGGCGCUCGUGGCGCACCAGCACGGCGUCCCCUUCAUUACCAUCCGCUCCCUCUCCGACCUCGCCGGCGGCGGCUCGUCUCUCAGCAACGAGGCCGCCACGUUCCUUGACAUCGCGGCCAAGAACGCCGUCGACGUCAUGCUCAAGUUCGUGCCCCUCCUUGGCCGCGGUGGCGAGCAGGAGCAGGCCGACGGUCUGGCCCAAGACAUGUAAUGUAAGGCGGGCCAGGAGACAGAUAGACGACGCUGAGCAGUCACGUCGUGGUACAAUACAAUUUCGUCUUGUAAGGUUUUUAUUUAAAAUAAUUUCCCACCCACGAAUUAACUUGUAUCGCUAUUGCAAACCUAUCUUCGGGAAUAAAUAAGAUUGGUUGUCGUGCCGAUGUGUUUUUUAUAUUAUUAAAAAAAAUACUUACCCUUAAGCAAUGUUACCUCUAUUGAAGUUCUUCUAACUCAAAUAUGUUUGUUCAUUUGUUUUUGAAAAAGGUAAGUAUAGCGUCAUUGUGGGGUGCAAGCAACUAAUAAUGUGCGGUUGACAUGGAAGAGAGUAAUAUGAUCCAAAAACCCCUUAGGUUGAAACAUAGUAAAGACUAGAGGUAUGUUUGGAUCUCUAAAAAGUAAAAACGAGGUGGUAAAAUGAUAAUGAGAUCCAACUCUUGAUUCUAUAAUCUAGAAUCCAACUAUCUACUUCAAACCAAUUAUUUGGAGAUUUUACUAUGUAAAUACAAUAAUCAGUUUAAAAAUAAGAUCUAGUUUGGCAGAGAUGUUGUCAAAGCGCUCUAUCGGCUCUGCACACACCAUGGACGACGAUGCUCAACUGGAGCCGCACACUAAUACAAAUUUUAUUAACUGUGACCUUUCAAAAUGGCAUUCGGAGGCGGGCAGGAUUCCCAACCGCCUCGGUUAAUAGUAGGCAUUAACCGUGGUGGUCAUUUUUUAUUAACCGAGAUGGUUACAAAUAACUGCCUCAGUUAAUCAAUUUACGAAGACAGACAUCCUAAAAUGACUGUCUCGGUCAAUAUAGAUUAACCGAGGCGGACAUCCUAAGGCAACCGCCUCGACAAAUCCUUAAUGGAGGUGGGUAUUAUAUCUCCAACUAUCUCGGUAAAUAUUUAACCCAAAUAACCCAUAUCCCGGCUCAUAUCACGCUCAUCAUAUAUAUAUAUACAAGGUUAGGGUUUCAGUUCACUUAUCCCUCUCCCUCUCUCCUCUCAAAAUCUCCCGUCAGUCUCUCCCUCUUCCCUUUCUCCCCACGCGCCGCAGCAGCCCCCUCCCUCCCACUCCAUCUUCCUUCCUCGGCGAUGGCGGCGGCGCCGCUCUCCUCUCCUAGCAUGGCGGGGAGGGCUCUCUCUCUCUCUCUCUCUCUCUCUCUCUCUCUCUCUCUCUCUCUCUCUCUCUCUCUCUCGUGGCCAGGCUUGGGGUGCAGCCAGAUCCGCGGUGGCGCCCCCUCCUUCUCCAGUGGCCAGGCCGCGGGGUGUCUAGAUCCAUAGCGGGGCCCUCCUCCUCCCUAUUCGGUUGCUAGGUGUGUGGGGCAGCCGGAUCCACAGUGGGACGCCCCUCUCCUCCCUUCACGGUGGCUAGGCACAUGGGGGCGGCUGGAUCCACGUUGCUAUGCCCCCUCCCUCUCCGGCGGCUAGGCGCGUGGUGGGCGCCCGGAUCCAUGGCGGUGCCUCCUCCUCCCUCUUCGGUGGCCAGGCGUAUGGGGGCGGCCAGAUCCGCAUUGGUGCCGCCCCCUCCUCCUUCUCCGGUGGCUAGGCACACUGGGGCCGGCCGAAACCACGACAGAGUGACCCCUCUUCUCUCUCCAGCGGCUAGGCGUGCAGAGUUGGCCGGAUCUUGUGGCAGCCAGGUCCACACCUCCCUCUCCUCUGGCCUAGCGCGCUGGGGCCAGCUAGAUCUUCGGCAACGGUGCACGGGCAUUGGGUCCAGUGGGCUCACCGGUGGGCUCAAAAACGGGCUCGCCGGUGGGCUUUGGGUGUUUUUUUUGUUUUUUUUAACGGUUAACCGUGGCGGGCAUCCUAACGUGUCCGCCUCGGUUAAUCGAUUUACCAUGGUGGGAACAGGCAACCGCUGCGGUAAGGUCACGAUUAACCGUAAUCUUAGAUCCACGGCAGACACCUUUGCCCCCCACAGAAAAUGAAAAAUGCCUACCAUAGUUAAGUUUUUAUUAACUAGUGGCGGGAGGUCGUGGUCGGGGAUUGCAGUUGUAGCGAUACAACACGGUGUACAAAGGGGUCACAGAUGCUGGUGGUGGUCCCUUAGGCUAGGCUCUAGGCUAUCCACACUCGUAGCCAUAGCCUACCGUCCAUUCGUCUGUGCUCGGCGCUGGCGCUGGUGUGCAGGACCGUGUGAAGCUGGCUUGUCGGUUUCACAGCCGCGCCGACACCGGCCGCCUUCUUGAUCUCGAUGCUCUCUCGCUUCCUUCGUCGACGACAACAAGGGAAAGGAAGGGCAUGGGCCUGCACCAUCAAUGCUCGCGCCAGACUCCGUCGAUCGAGUUUGAAGCACAAGGGGAACGGAAAUCCAGUGCCAAGCAUGGCGGUUUUGCAAGAAAAAAAAUAGACCACGUUUCUAAAAUUCGUUUAUAUAGUGGAUUAGCAUGUUCUUACCUUCUAGAGCUGCUUUGUCCAAAAAAAUUCAAGAGCAAAACAUUUUUCAGCACAGUUUGUUGGUUGCUUAGGAGAUCUUCUUUUUCCUUCCCAAGCUAUAAAUAUAGCUUUGUGCUGAGAAGAGCGGGGCUUCUUUUUAUAUGUAUAAAAGGCGGCGAGCGAUUCCAGAUGCAGUACAUAACACCAACCAUCCCUGAAAAUUGGAUUCUUUUAGAGAUGCUUGGUAAUAUCAAUUUCUGUGUAAUCUGACCUUCAAGGAUUAUCUGUUUAAUUUGUUAGGCCCUCUAAUUUAAUUUGUAAAAGCGAUUCUAAUGUCAAACGUUCUUUGAAAGAAAAUAGAUGGCGUCUCUAGAAAAUCAUAUCUAUAGUAUUAUAAUUAAGGUUUUAAAUCUCUGACUACAACUAUCUCUACAGCCAAUUAUAUUUGUUGGCUGUUUGAGGCUGAUAAAGCUAUUUGUGUUUAUAUAAAACUUAUUAGAAGCUAUAGUCCGCUAUAUAUAGCUCCAUUUAGCCUCCGCCCACUAAAUCCUUUAGCUGGCGAUUUAAAAUCUUUAUUAUAAUAUAUGCACAGGUCACAUCCUCAUAGGGGCAAUCCCAUCAUCUGCACUCGUACCCGUCCUAGAAUAUAUAGCAAACCCAACAUAUGUAGUAUACCAACCAACAACAACAUGUACGCACUUAUCGGCACUGCUGUCUCUCGUUCUAUUGGGUGAACCACAUAUAUACACUAUAGUACUGUACACAGCUACUAGCUAGCAAUCGACCAGAAGGCAGCAGCCAUGGCUGGUGGUGGUGUUCAGCAGGUGGUGGCCGUGCUCGCGGUGGUGGCGCUCAUGGUGACGGUGGUGGAGGGUUUCAUCUCGAAGAAGAAGUGGAGCACCAUCCGGCAGGUGGACCGCGAUGGACCCUUUGUGGGGCUGGUGGCGCCCAACGCCUACGAGAUGAAACCCGUACUCGACUCCCCCGACUUCAAACCUAGCAACAACAUCCCCAUCCUAGACGUCCAAGGUAACCUAGUUAAGCAAUAACAGGGCCAGGAUGGGGGGAGGGGAGAGGGGGAGAGGGGAGGCUAGCCCUCGUGAUGCUCUACUGACCCUCUAGCACAUAGUUAAUAUACUCCCUUCGUAUACGAUUUAGAAGUUAUUUAGAAUAGCGACACGGUCUCCAAAACACAACUUUGACCUCUUAUUUUUAUAAAAAUAAUUAGAAAAAAAUUAUAUAUGUAUACUUUUAUGAAAGUAUUUUUCAAGGCAAAUCUAUUCAUAUAAUUUUCAAAACUCAACAAUUUAAAUUAAAAGUUACGGAUGAUUUAUAUUCUCAAUGUUUGACCUAAAUCUUUGAUAGAGGUCUAAGUAAGCGCUGGUUAAGACCUAUAUACGAAAUGAACAUCUCCAAGAAACUCUGUAUAUCCUUCCUAAAUGCUAGAAAUAGAGAUUUUUGAUGAAAAACUACCCUCCAACAGCUUUUCUAAAUGAUCAUUUAAAUAUAGCCAUCUUCUAUUUCAGAUUUUUCGCUAGCUAAAUAUAGAAGACAAUAAUGGUUCUCUAGAGUGCGUAUGAGAUAUAGAAAAACUGUUGGAUAGUGAAAAUAUAUAGAAAGCCAUUUUUGUGAAAAUGACUCUCCAAAUAAUGAUUUAGAGAGUAAGAUUUAGAAAGACCCUUAGAGAUAUUAUGAUGAAGCAUGUGUUGCUAGUUGUGUUCCAAGGGUCUAUUGUAAGGCAACGUAUCUAGUGCAAACUUAUCUCCCGUGCAAACUGUGCAAACUCUAAUCUGGACCGUAGGAUGUUGAUCCAAGGGGGUGCAUGAGAGAGGUGGAAGGAGGGAUUUGUAAAAGUAUGAUUAAGAGCGGGCGGUUAAAUGCAAAAUUACCCAAUCUUUCCGUGCCCCUUGGAUCAACAUCCUAUGGUCCAGAUUAGAGUUUGCACAGUUUGCACAGUUUGCACUAGAUCCGUUCCCCUAUUGUAAUGCAUAUGCAUGCGUUGGUAACAUAUGCUGUGUUGCUGGCUCGCAAUGGAUGUGCAUGUGUUGCUAACUAGUAACUAAUGAAGUAUAUAUAUGCCGUCUGCUUAAUUUUUGGAUCCAUUACUACAAACAUGUAUACACAUAUCUCUUGAAGUAAGAACCCUCAAGAUAGAAUUUUACAAUUACUUAGGACACUCACAAUGCAGACUCUAUCAUAAAGUCUAAAGUUAUUUAUUACCACAAACAAUGUGGACUUAGAGUCUAAAUAAGGCUUGGAGUCUUAUUUUUUCUACCUCUUUCUUUAAUAAAUAUGCUCUCAUAUCAGCAAAAUACCAUAAAUAAUAUGUAAUUAAUUGUCUUGAACUCUGUGAUAGAGUCAUUGUGAGUGCCCUUACACACACAUCAUUAGAUCCAUUACCCGGGCACAAACAAGGCUAUUAGACAAGUAAAGCUAACAUAUAUUUUUAUUCAUUAAAUAAAUUCAAUAAUAAAUUAUUCUGUACAGAGAAUUCCGGAUGUCGUUUCCCAGGCAUAUUCUAAGUUCAAUAAUAUGGAAUAUUUCAGACAUAUAUGCCUAUGUUACUGAACAUAACUCUCAGUGCUAAACAAAACUAGAUAUAUAUUGACAAAUAUGUUCAGUAACAUAUAUUUUUGUGAACUCAAACUAAUUUAUGACGUGACAUAAGAGCCAGAAGGUCAGCAUAGAAAAUACCAAUUGAAGUUCAGGACAAGAAAUGUAAUGGCAUGUUCCCAGUGCAAUAUUGGGAAAAGCAAUACUCCCUCCAUGUUCUAAAAGAAAAUCAUGUUGAGAUUGUCUUAAAUCAAAUAUUUUGAACUUUAACUACAAAUAAGUUAUUUUGGAUUCUUUUUAAAUAUUAUGUUAAUGAUGUAUAAGUACAUUAAUCUUGAAAUUAGUUUUAUAGACAAUAUAUAUUGACUAUUUUUUAUAAAUAUUUUUAGCAAAAAGUAGUAGUCAAAAUAGUUUCGGAAGACCGUGUCAAUAUCCAAAAUAACUUUCUUUGCGGACAUAAAAGGAGUAGUAGAUUUUCAAUCCAUGACAUUACCAUGGCAUAUGAUUCGAAUUAACUCUUUUUCUUAUGAUAUAGGAGUAUAUAAUUAACAGUUGCAGUGUGUGUAUAUAAAAACAUAAUAUAAUGCACUUUUUCCAUUGGAAUUGUUUCACUGUUAGAAAUUUUUCAUUGAAGGGCGACGAUUCCGCUUCGGAACCAUUGGAGGCCAAAACGUUGUCAUGGUCAUGACUGGGCUGAGCAUGGUAUAAAUUCAUCUUUUCCACAUAUACAUGUGAAAUUUUAUUUGACCACUAUUUUCCUAAAACGAAUGUGGCAGCAGAGAGCUGCCGAUUUUUUUUUGACUGUAGUAUAAAUAUGUUGUCAGAAUAAUCCAGAAAUUUUGUGGAUGUGUGGCGUGCACUGCAGCUGAAUGCAGGGCUCACUACCCAGCUGCUGCUGAGCCUGUUCAGGGUGAAAGGCAUCGUGCACUGGGGCAUCGCCGGCAACGCCAACGAGGACCUCCAGAUCGGCGACGUGACCAUCCCCGAGUCCUGGGCGCACCUCUCCCUGUGGAACUGGCAGAGGCACG